rnacentral:lncRNA from 1 species
UUCAACCAAUUCCCAAGUAUGGUUACUCAUGAUGGAUUCAAUUUCAUUGUGUACAGCUUCUUUCCAAAAAGGAGCUUCGGGAGAGGACAUUGCUUCAUCAAAUGUCCUAGGAUCAUUUUCAAGUAAAUUGGUUACGAAUUUUGGACCGAAUGUCUUUGGAAUUCGUUGCCUUUUACUACAUCUCGGUUCUUCAUUUACUUGAAGAUCAUCAUUCUUUCCAUGUAUGUUAUCAUAAGUUCGUUUAUUUGAACCUACUUCCUUUUCUUUACAAGGAAAACUGUCUUCAAAGAAGACCGC